GUAGGUGGCAAGCGUUGUCCGGGAAUUAUUGGGCGUAAAGCGCGCGCAGGCGGUUCUUUAAGUCUGAUGUGAAAGCCCACGGGCUCAACCGUGAGGGUCAUUGGAAACUGGAGAACUUGAGUACAGAAGAGGAAAGCGGAAUUCCACGUGUAGCGGUGAAAUGCGUAGAGAUGUGGAGGAACACCAGUGGCGAAGGCCGGCUUUCUGGUCUGUAACUGACGCUGAGGCGCGAAAGCGUGGGGAGCAAACAGGAUUAGAUACCCUGGUAGUCCACGCCGUAAACGAUGAGUGCUAAGUGUUAGGGGGUUUCCGCCCCUUAGUGCUGCAGCUAACGCAUUAAGCACUCCGCCUGGGGAGUACGGCCGCAAAGGCUG
rnacentral:rRNA from 1 species